GGGGCAUUAGCUCAGCUGGGAGAGCGCCUGCUUUGCACGCAGGAGGUCAGCGGUUCGAUCCCGCUAUGCUCCACCA
rnacentral:tRNA from 5 species